AUUUCUCAUCUUACCCUUGGCAAAAGAGCAAAUAAGUGUAUUUUCCAAAAUGCUGAACUACUCCUUUAAUGCAACAAGGACUUUUGCAAGGUUGACUGUGAAAUCUAGCCCAGAUGUCAAGCAAACAUCGGACUUCUGCAGAAGUUCAGUGCAAUCCUGUAAGACAAGAAGAAGACAGAAAGAAGAAAACAUGAGAUGCAGAAAGCAUCUGUGCGCACAUCCGCACGGAAGCUCAAAUAUCUCCCUCCUCCAAAUAUAACAAGCACGGAAGAGGGAAAUAAGAGAAAUGAGACGGCCAACAGGAGGAAAGAUAGAUGACUUGUUUUUCAAUGGAGAACAUCUGCAGUCAGCUCUUUUAUUUCUAUCCUUCCACAUUAUGCAUAUUACUUUAUAAUCUAGGCGGACUAAAACAUUGGAUUGACCAGUUCUGGAUCUUCUCCGCUGCCUGGAGCUCCACGAGCCUCCGCACCGCAGGAUUUAGAAACUACAUUAUUUGAACGUGACAGAUUGUUAUUUAACGAUAGCUGAUGGUUAAUCUAUUUCUGGGAAAGCGGCCCACCGAAUCCACCAGAUGUGCAUGCUAGCAGUUAAUUCGUCUGUUUGAUGCAUUAGUGCGGGCGGCGCUGCCACCUUUGUCUGUCUCGCUGCAGCCUGGCAACCACAUGUUCAUUUGGCCCAUUGUGGACCCGCGGUGGCCCCGUUCUCCUCCCUCUCCUCUGGCCCUUGGAAGAGGGGAUGGGUGUUAUCUGCUCGGCUCCAGGAUUCACUCCGGGCACACGUACAAACUCUCUCACACACUCUCUAAGCGGGCUCUUACAGGGAGGACGUGGAUGGGGUCCAGGAGAGCAGACAUACUUUCUGUCCAAACAAUGAGAUUUCUAAAGUAUCAGAGUGUGUGUGUGUUAAUGCACCCCCAUUUUUAGUUUUUUAAAAGUGCAUUUAUGUGUGGAAGUGUGGUGAAUCUACACGAGGGAGCCAGAGGGGGAGCAGAAGGAGGACAGGAAGUGAAGGGAGGAGAGACCCCUGGUUCAUUCUCCAUCAGGGCCAACCAGUUAAGCAGAGGAUGUGGUUUCACAGUGAGUCAAUGAGCACUUUGCCUAAGGCUGUUACUGAGAGCUACUCGUCCCGUCAGCCAUGCUGCAAACAGCCUGUGGCACUGGGGCAUAUGUUCCACUCAUAGUCAAAUCUAUAGAAAUGAGCUAAAGACCACAACCAGCUGUAUAAGUAUUGAUGCUCCCAGUCCAAACCCACUUUAGCUUUGCAGUCUCAAUUCAAAUUCAUGACCUUUAUUGUAUCAUUGUAAUGAAUAUGGACAUGAUGCAUGCAUCCUUGUGCAUUACGGGCCAGAGAAAAAAAUCGAUACAGCAUAGUAUCGCGAUAUUUGGCAAUAAUUGUAUCAAUACACGGUCGUCAAUUACCGAUCUUUUAUUAUUAGGGCUGUCAAA